UGGGGAAUAUUGCACAAUGGGCGCAAGCCUGAUGCAGCCAUGCCGCGUGUGUGAAGAAGGCCUUCGGGUUGUAAAGCACUUUCAGCGAGGAGGAAGGUGGUGAACUUAAUACGUUCAUCAAUUGACGUUACUCGCGGAAGAAGCACCGGCUAACUCCGUGCCAGCAGCCGCGGUAAUACGGAGGGUGCAAGCGUUAAUCGGAAUUACUGGGCGUAAAGCGCACGCAGGCGGUUUGUUAAGUCAGAUGUGAAAUCCCCGGGCUCAACCUGGGAACUGCAUUUGAAACUGGCAAGCUAGAGUCUCGUAGAGGGGGGUAGAAUUCCAGGUGUAGCGGUGAAAUGCGUAGAGAUCUGGAGGAAUACCGGUGGCGAAGGCGGCCCCCUGGACGAAGACUGACGCUCAGGUGCGAAAGCGUGGGGAGCAAACAGGAUUAGAUGCCCUGGUAGUCCACGCUGUAAAGCGAUGUCGAUUUUGGAGGUUGUGCCCUUGAGGCGUGGCUUCCGGAGCUAACGCGUUAAAUCGACCGCCUGGGGGAGUACGGCCGCAAGGUUAAAAACUUAAAUGAAUUGACGGGGUC
rnacentral:rRNA from 1 species